rnacentral:rRNA from 1 species
GACGAACGCUGGCGGCGUGCCUAACACAUGCAAGUCGAGCGGACUUGACAGAGCUUGCUCUGUUCAAGUUAGCGGCGGACGGGUGAGUAACACGUGGGCAACCUGCCCUGCAGAUUGGGAUGACUCCGGGAAACCGGGGCUAAUACCGAAUAACAUUGAAAACCUCAUGGUUUUCUUUUAAAAUGCGGCUUCGGCUGUCACUGCAGGAUGGGCCCGCGGCGCAUUAGCUAGUUGGUGAGGUAACGGCUCACCAAGGCAACGAUGCGUAGCCGACCUGAGAGGGUGAUCGGCCACACUGGGACUGAGACACGGCCCAGACUCCUACGGGAGGCAGCAGUAGGGAAUCUUCCGCAAUGGACGAAAGUCUGACGGAGCAACGCCGCGUGAGUGAAGAAGGUUUUCGGAUCGUAAAACUCUGUUGUUAGGGAAGAACAAGUAUCGGAGUAACUGCCGGUACCUUGGCGGUACCUGACCAGAAAGCCACGGCUAACUACGUGCCAGCAGCCGCGGUAAUAC